CACGUAGGGCGCGAGCGUUGUCCGGAAUUAUUGGGCGUAAAGAGCUCGUAGGCGGCCUGUUGCGUCCGCUGUGAAAGCCCGGGGCUUAACCCCGGGUCGGGCAGUGGAUACGGGCAGGCUAGAGGUAGGUAGGGGAGAAUGGAAUUCCCGGUGUAGCGGUGAAAUGCGCAGAUAUCGGGAGGAACACCGGUGGCGAAGGCGGUUCUCUGGGCCUUC
rnacentral:rRNA from 1 species